rnacentral:tRNA from 1 species
GGAGAGGUCGCAUAGUGGCCUAGUGCGCUUGCUUGGAAAGCAAGUAUUCUCGAAAGGGAAUCGGGGGUUCGAAUCCCCCCCUCUCCGCCA